UUCUCCCAACAGAACUGGGCACAUUCCUGCUCUGGCAUCAGUGUGUCACAUCAGUAACUUAGUGAUGUAACAUCAUGUGAAGCUGGUUGUUCAGUGAGUUUAAUUGUCAAGUCAAAUGUAUAAAGAAAGGCUUUCUGAAAUGCACUUGUGUAUUUGCAAUGCAAUUAUUAACCUUGCUGAGCCUCAGUCUUGUAAUUUGUACAUUGGGAGCCCUCUGAAACUGAAGUGUGUCUUUAGGAUUACAGAUGAUGUAAGGAGUUUAAAUAUAGCCAGACUAACCAAGCACUCAGAAACAAACAGCUAAUAUAAUAGUUUGGGAUAAAAGCACAGAUGCCAAUUUUUCUUUUUAUGACCUCUCCUCUCCUUUAUCAAAUAUCUUCAAAUAUAUCUGAAAAUCGGUACACCAUAAAUUCUAUACAUCUUGGUUGAAGAAAAUUUCCAUCCCCAAAUUCUGAUCUCCAUAGUAUCCUGCCAAUGACCUAUGCAGCUCUUUGGGGAUCCUUAAAUAGAGAAAGAGGUAGGGAGUAAUUUUUAAUUUUGAAAAAAAUGAAAGUCUUAGAAAUGGUUAUAAAAUUUAUAGGGAAUGAAGAUAAAUUUAGAGAAAUGUUUCAAUGAAAACAUGAAAGCAGCCACCUCAGCACAAUGAUGAUGAAAGAAAGAAGGGAGGAAGGGACAAAGAAAACAGGAAGGGUAAAGAAAAGAAAGGAAAAAAUUGCAGGGUGUGGAAAAGAGAUUUUAGGACUUGGGAGACCUAUGAACCAAAGCGGAAGCAAAACACUCCCCAAAUGGUCAUGUCACUCGCUUUUCCCCAUGGGAUAUUGUUCCUGUAGUAAUAUAGAAACUAACCCCAAAGGGGGUCAGGUGUACAGGAGAACAAGACCUCUGUUUCCACAAUUUGUUCUUUAUUCCCAGGAGUUGAUCUGCAAAUAAAGCUUGUUUUAGAGUCCAUUGUUAUGAAAUUGUUUCAUCACCUGCCAAUUAUUAGGAAACAUCAAAAAUAUUUGGUGAUUUGAAAGAGCAGGCAGCAGACAAGCAGAGGCUCUGAGAGCCGUUCCAUCGCUGCAGACAUUACUAGACUAAUACUUUUUCUCUGCUCGUGUUCACGGAACCGAAAGUAAGCUGCAAGGUGGGCUGGUCUGUGUCCACAUCUGGCGUGCCCCCGCUGUCAAUUACUCCUCUCAGGCAAGCCAGUGACCUGCAGCAGAGUCAGGUACCACCAUCGUUAGCCAGUUGUGAUUGACUGCCUGUAAUGUGACAUGCCAAUCGCUUCCCACCUCUGUCUGUCAUGUGUUGCUGUAGACAACUUUCGCAUUUGCUUUUCUUCUCUGUGUGUAGGGGUUGAGGGGAUGAGUUGUGGCAGUCUGUGUUUUCAUCCAAAAAGGAGUCUUUCUUCCCUGUGAUUGGUGACCCUUUCUUUGCUGUCUGUUACCAAAUCGUUUUUUGUUGUGGUUUCCAUCAUUCUGUAAUAUAAAUGUAGUAAACUUGUAUUAAUAGUUCUGUGUAUCAGUUUACUAUUCCUGGCUUCUAUAAAAGCAGAUUUAUAUCAGUGUAAAGGAUGCAAACACAGGUCUAAGGCAUUUCAAAGCACCUGCCUAGUGACUUUGUCUUCAAACUCUGUGCUGGCCUACAGGAUCAAACGAAGUAUCUCUGAAGGCUGGUUGACCUAAGGCUCAUUGGUUUGCAACUAUAUGGUUUCUAAUAUUUAGUUCUUCCCAGAGAUAAAAUGAGGAAUUGCCUAGCAGGAAAAAAUGAAUAAGGCUCACAGAGGUGGAGAAAUAGCAAAAAAUCCCGAAUUAAAAUAAUUGAGAAUCAAGAGGCUAAAUGAGCUACUGUUGCUUUCUCCAGUUAGCUGUUCUAAUGGUUGUUGAUCAUGUACUCUAGUGUAUGGUGAUGGUCUUAGAGUGUUACAGCCGAAGGGAUAUGGUGACAUGAAGGGUAGAGAGCUCUACACACGAGGUCCUCACUUUUACAGAUGCUGCUGGAACCCAAAGAGUCUGAGUGAGUCUCAGUGAUAUGUGCCAGGAACCUCAGUAAGUUUGCAGAAGGACCACGUCUAGAACCCAAUGAUCACAUGUCUUGUAGUAGCUUAUUAUUUGAUAUUAGAGACUGAAAUAUGAAUUUGCUGUCCGUUUUGUUUCUACCAAGAAGAAACUCACUUUGGAUGAGUGCCUAUGAAAAUCAUUCAUUAACUUGGGGGUCUUUCCCCUUUGGUCAAUCAGGAGGAGCUGCCUUAUUGGCCAGCUGCUUGGAGCUAGAAUGUACUGAGGUCUGUGAGCAACGGGACCAGGACGGGCUGCAAGAACCCAGGACACCAUGGACUCUUGAGGUGGUUCCAGGAAGAUGAAUCAUUUGCACACUAAAUCCCAGUCGAGCCCCUGGGACAGUGGGUUCCUUUGCUGUAGGCAGGAGUUAGAGGUAAAAUUCCAUGAUUUUUCUUUAAAUUGUGCCUGCUGUGUUAGACCAUUAUGACCAGCAAGCUUAUGCAAUCACUAUAGCUCAUGGCUCUAUGUAUUUAAGCAUAUAUGGUAUAUUUAUUUCCAUUAUCUGUAUUGGAAAUUAUGUAAUUAGAAAACACAGAAUUAGGAAAUGUUAUUUGCAACUAGUUGGAUGAAAUUGAAGGACACGUGCUAAGUGAAAUAAGCCAGAGACAAAGACAAAUAUGGAACACUCUCACUUAUAUGUGAAAUCUAAAAGAGUUCAACUCGUAGAAGCAUAAACUCGAAUGGUGGUUGCCAUUAGUUGGGGCUUUGGGGAAUUGAGGGUGGAAAGCUUCAACUAUGCAAGAUGGAUAAGUUCAGGAGAUCUAAUAUAUACAUCUCACAUAUACCAGAAGAGCAAGUUCUACACCUCAAAUAUAUAUACAUUUUUUGUCAGUUACACAUCAAAACUGAAAGAAAAUUGAGAUAAAAUUUAAAAGACACAAAUAGCAUAGCAGAUACAUAGGGAAGAAGAAACUGAUAUAUAGGACCUGGUAAGGACAUUUAAAAGAACAACACUGAUGAUAAUGAUAAUAUUUGGAACAAAAGCUAAUCAUUAGAGAGAGCCCUUAGUCCUUUUUUUUUGCCUUCUCUGCUACUUUAAGUCUUAUUCUUCACCCUUCCCAACUCCGAAGAACGAAUUUUCAGUUUUUGGCUACUACCUCCAACCAAAGAUGUCUGUGUGUCAUCCAAGAAGCAGUGGUUGGGCGCCUACCUAGUGUCAGGCAGUAGGGAUUGUGAUCAAUAAACUAGGGCUCUUCCUUCCAUGAGAUCAGUCUAAUGGGGAAGAAAAAGGUGCUCUAGAAUGAUAAGCUAAGACAAUUAAAUUCCAGUAGGUAGGGGAUUGGCCGUGCUUGCUCCAGUCGGGAGGUGGAAGGUGAGCGGGACACAGGGACCUGUGUUCAAGUGAGAAUGUCAGCGCCUAGCAUUUAUAGGGGCUCUGCGAGCAUGGAUUGGACACAAGGCUGCCAAUGCGCGCGAGCAAGGCAGGAAAGGCUUAAAUGGGACCAUUCCCAAGCGGGAUGAAAGAUGAGGCCGACUCCGAAGGUAGGUGGACUCCUCAUAGCGAAGGAGCGCCCAUGUCACUCCCUCUUGCUGCAGGCUCUCCUCCCUCUCCCUGUCCAGGAGGCGAGGCCGCGGCUUGUGGCCCCUGUAGGGGCGCGAGGAGCGGCCGAAGCGAAGCUGGUGCCCUGUGGCACGGAGGGAGGCUCUUGAGCGCGAGUGGCUGGGCUGCUUUCCGAGGCGCGGCUACGGCCGCCACGCUGACGGCUGAGGCCAUUCCGGUCCUGGCCGGAGAGGUGCUCUAUAUUUUGAAGAUCACUAUGCCCACAGGGUAGCAAUUAAAUCCAAAUUAAAGGAAGCAAAAGUAGUUAUUGAAGGAAGGAGUCCCUGUAGUCAUCAAUUCCAAAAUCUAUUCAAGUUUACAGUGAAAAGAAGGACAUUCCUCACUUUUCAUAGGCACUUGGGUUCUCCGCUGGUCUGGCUUUCCUCCCCAUUCCUUCAGUGACCAGGUUUAAUUUAUGGGAGCUCCAGCUUUGUCUUCAGAAAAAUCCUUUUAGGAAUAGUAGGGAUUUUUUGUGUGUGAUUUUGUAUGAACCUGAAAGCCGGUACUAUGGGUCAAAGAUAUAACCAAUAAUAACAGCAAAUUGACACUACUAAUACACAGUGCUUGAAAGUCUUUAUUUGUACUUAUAUGUUCUUCACAAUAACCAUUAAGAUAUUGUCAUUAUGUCCACUUUAUAGAAGUGAAAAUUGACACAUAAGAAGGUUAAGAAUUUACAUCAGAAUCACCCAUUUUGUCCACACAAAAUCACAUCUUAUGUGUUGUUCACAGAAUGCCACUUGAGCGGUGGUAUGGACAGGAAUCAACCUUAGGAAUCUGAUUCCAGAUUUUGCACUCUUUGCUCCAGGACUCUGGAAUCCAUGCUUUCCAUCAUUAUCACUUCUCAAAAUGUCCCCUUUAUCUAAAAUACUUUUCAAGGUCUCUUUCCAAGUACUGCAUCUCAUCUGCUCUCAAAUAAAUACUCUCUGCUCUCCCCAGUCCUAAAAAGCUGUUCAUUUGAAUCCACCACCUAUAUGUGGGCUGCCCCCCAUAUUGCCCUCAUUUCUUCAAUUUUCCCACUUGACCUGCUAUGUCCAACCUUUCCUCCUCCCCAACCCCAUCUCUUUCUCCCUCUUGACUCUCCCACCAAUACCUAAGUAGCUGCCUCUGUGAAAGAUGACCCGUGCCCUUCUGCUCACUAAAUUCAGAGGCUAUGUCCUUGAGUUAACUGCGAGCAGUAUCUGCCAUUACGUCCUCCUGGUCACUCUUGAUCCCUUUUCCCAGAGGUUAUACCAUCUCUCCUGGAUUUUUCUUCUUUCUAAUUUUAGUUUGUCUGUUUCCUUUUCCUUUCCCUCACUCUAGGUAUGUGGUGAUAUAUGCUCUCUCCUCUGUGCUGUGCAUUUCUCUCUGUAGUUUCACUUUCUCUGCAUGGUCUCCUCACUGGAUCUUCCCAAAAUCUACAUCUCCACAAGAUGUAACUAUAUCAGUUACAAAGCAGCCAAAUCUGAAUCUUCAGAAGUUAAUAACAGGAUUUAGGGUAAAAGAUGGCAGUGUACGAAGGCAAGGCAAAAACCUCCUCCCAAAAUCACAUAGAACAUGAAAAUACAGCAAAUACAACUAGCCCUGAAAACAACCUGAAGACUACUGACUUCCUACAUCUGGGGAAGAAGACCCUACAGAAGAAGGUAAAGUGGCAAAGCCAUGAUCUGGUGAGACCCAAGCCCUUCCCCCACUCUGGCCCAUGGGCAGAAGGAAGAGGAAAGGAGAGGGUAGGGAGUAGAAGCCCAGGAUCCCUGAAGAGCUGGCCCUGGAGAUCUGCUCUGGGAACAUGAGCCCACAUUGCAUGAUGCCCUGGUGAUUGGUGGGGCUGGAAACACUUGGGGAGGAACACUUGGGGAGGCUGAGAUACCAGCCUCCUGUGCAGAACAGGCAUGCUGUACUGGCCUUCCUGAGAAAGAAGGCAGAGUGGGCGGUUUGAAAGACUUCCAGGCAGUGAGAGGGGUGACAGAGGGGCAAUGAUUGCACAGUGCUCUCUGCUUAGGAAAAAGGUUAGGUGGACAAUAUCUCCCCAGCCCACCCUCAGCCCAACAGGCUGAGGUUUUGGUAGUUUGCAUCUUUCAUAGAACUGGUUCAUUUAAUCUAAAUUGUUAAAUUUGGAAUAUAGUUGUUCAUACUACUUAUUUGUUUAAUGGCCAUGGAAUCAAUAAUGAAUAUCCCAUUUUCAUUUAUUGUAUUGGUAAUUUGUAUUUUACUUUCUUUGUUCCUUUCUUAUUAUGUUAUUUUUGCUUGCUUUAGACCUGUUUUACUCCUUUUCCCUAGUUGCCUAAAGUGGAAGCUUCGGCUACUGGCUUUAGAUUUCUUCUUUUCUAACAAAGACAUUUAAUGCUAUAAAUUUCCAUGUAAGCACUAUUUUCAUUGCGUCCUCUAAAUUUUGAUGUAAUAUUUUCAUUUUCCUUCAAUAAAAAAUGUUUUUUUAAAUGUCUCUCAAGACCUUUUUUUUGAGCCAGUGCUAUUUACAAGUGUGUGGUUUAAUUUCCAAAUAUUUGGGAUUCUCCAUGUUAGGCUGGAGGAAGGAAAAACAAGGACAUGCAAACAGAACAGAGAGAUGCCAUAGGGGGAGAACAGACCAGACCCCAAGGUCCGUGCCUUAUAUGGGAAGGGGACAGCUCUUCCUGAAUUCCAUCCUUCUGAUGUGCCAGCUAAGACCCGGAUGUCAGCCUCCUCCCUCUUGGAAGGAAAAAAAGUUUCUAGUUGUCUAUUAUGUCACCUUUAGCCAAUCAUACCUCUCCAUGCCCCCUAGGAUAGCUUGCCCACUCCUCCCCCUCCUAAUCCCUUAUAAGCCCCCACCUCCCUGACCGGGUGUAACUUCCCCAGUCUGUAAUACCCAG